UACGGAGGAUGCAAGCGUUAUCCGGAAUGAUUGGGCGUAAAGCGUCCUCAGGUGGUUGUGUGUGUCUAUUGUCAAAGCAUCAUGCUUAACAUGAUAAAGGCAGUAGAAACUACACGACUAGAGUGCGUUCGGGGCAGAGGGAAUUCCUGGUGUAGCGGUGAAAUGCGUAGAGAUCAGGAAGAACACCGGUGGCGAAAGUGCUCUGCGAGGCCGCAAAUGACACUGAGGGACGAAAGCUAGGGGAGCGAAUGGG
rnacentral:rRNA from 1 species